rnacentral:rRNA from 1 species
GACGAACCGUGCGAACGUUGUUCGGAAUCACUGGGCGUAAAGCGCACGUAGGCGGAUCUUUAAGUCAGGGGUGAAAUCCCGAGGCUCAACCUCGGAACUGCCUUUGAUACUGGGGAUCUCGAGUCCGGGAGAGGUGAGUGGAACUGGCGAGUGUAGAGGUGAAAUUCGUAGAUAUUCGCAAGAACACCAGUGGCGAAGGCGGCUCACUGGCCCGGAACUGACGCUGAGUGCGAA